rnacentral:rRNA from 1 species
GACGAACGCUGGCGGCGUGCUUAACACAUGCAAGUCGAACGGAAAGGCCCUGCUUUUGUGGGGUGCUCGAGUGGCGAACGGGUGAGUAACACGUGAGUAACCUGCCCUUGACUUUGGGAUAACUUCAGGAAACUGGGGCUAAUACCGGAUAGGAGCUCCUGCUGCAUGGUGGGGGUUGGAAAGUUUCGGCGGUUGGGGGUGGACUCGCGGCUUAUCAGCUUGUUGGUGGGGUAGUGGCUUACCAAGGCUUUGACGGGUAGCCGGCCUGAGAGGGUGACCGGCGACAUUGGGACUGAGAUACGGCCCAGACUCCUACGGGAGGCAGCAGUGGGGAAUAUUGCACAAUGGGCGGAAGCCUGAUGCAGCAACGCCGCGUGCGGGAUGACUGCCUUCGGGUUGUAGACCGCUUUCGCCUGUGACGAAGCGUGAGUGACGGUAAUGUGUAAAGAAGCACCGGCUAACUACGUG